ACUUACUCACUAUGCUGCUUAACCAA
rnacentral:piRNA from 1 species